AACAUGCCUUUGUGAUGCCACAACCUGUGAUGAGAGGAAGUGAGGUAAAUGAUGUAGGCACCGCUAGCACUGUGACACUGUGUCAACCAGAUAACAAAGACAGCCAGUAAGGGACUAACAGGCAGGAGCAUAUACAGCAUGGAUAUGUCAGACAGAGGGAUGGACUGGGCAGGAUGAAGCAGGAUGGUGCAAGAUAUUAUCAUGCUACUCAGAAAGGCUGUAUAGAAAGAUUUGGACUUGGGCAGCUGUAGUAUUAUCCUGUGAGGACCACAGAUGUUACCUGUAAUAGUAAAAUAAUGAAGGUGAUCAUAGAAGACACUGCAGGUAACCCACUGUGUCCUCCCCUUUUCCACUUCAGCAUACAUGGUCCCACUUCCAAUUGCCAGUAUCUGCCCUCCUCUGCCGAGGGCUUUCUUUUGCUGCUUCCCAAUAACUUGCACUCACUGGGCAGUUGGAACCACUAGGGGAUGCAGGCUUCUUACCCCAGAGCCCUCUAAUCAAUGCCUGGAAGACUGACUUCCCCAGCUCCCUUACAUCUCAGGUUAGAACUCUGCUGUGUGUGCUUUACACUGGCUCCCAGAGUCUCUGCAGCAGAAUCAAGCUCUGGAACUCAGCUGGGUAACACCUAUGUGCCCUUCCUAGUCCUUUCACCACUUCCUACCAGUAUUUUCCUUCAACCUCCAAAUAAAUUCCUUGCACUGAGAUCCUUGUCUCAGGGUCUGUGUCUGGGAAAAUCCACACCCAGUUAGCAUUCCUUUCAGACUGAGAAGUGGACAAGGAUGUCUGCUAUUCUAUCACUGUUUACUACUGUACUGCAGGUCUGUAUGAACUAAGGCAAGAAAAGGAACAAAGGUUGAGAGGCUUAGAGAAGAGCAAGCUUCCUUUUGAUAUGACUUCUCUAGAAAACCAGAAAGAUGCAUUACUCAGAUUAAUUAGAGUUUUUCAAGAUGGCUGACUGAAAAAUUAAUGUACAGAAAAGCAAUUCUGGGAGAGGGGAGGGAGAGGAGAGGAAGGGAAUCUUAAAAAAAUCAGAUGUAUUAUGUGCAUGCACCACUCCCCACAAUAAAUGUAAUCAUAUACUGCAGACAUUUGCUAAUAAAAAUAAAACAUUUUAAAAAUCAACCUUUCUACCAGCAACAAAUGAUGAGAAAAGGAAAUUUGUAAAAAGGUUUGCUUCAAUCAAGCAUAAAAAUCAAAUACCGAUGAAUAAAUAUAAAAGAUGGCCAAGAUCUCUACACAGAAC
rnacentral:lncRNA from 1 species